rnacentral:rRNA from 1 species
UACAGAGGUCUCAAGCGUUGUUCGGAUUCAUUGGGCGUAAAGGGUGCGUAGGCGGCGCGGUAAGUCGGGUGUGAAAUCUCGGAGCUUAACUCCGAAACUGCAUUCGAUACUGCCGUGCUUGAGGACUGGAGAGGAGACUGGAAUUUCCGGUGUAGCGGUGAAAUGCGUAGAUAUCGGAAGGAACAUCAGUGGCGAAAAGCGGCUUCCUGGUCCAGCACCGACGUUCAGGCACGAAAGCGUGGGGAGCAAACAGG